rnacentral:rRNA from 1 species
AUUGAACGCUGGCGGCAGGCCUAACACAUGCAAGUCGAGCGGAUGAAGUAGCUUGCUACUGAUUCAGCGGCGGACGGGUGAGUAAUGCCUAGGAAUCUGCCUGGUAGUGGGGGACAACGUUUCGAAAGGAACGCUAAUACCGCAUACGUCCUACGGGAGAAAGUGGGGGACCCUCGGGCCUCACGCUAUCAGAUGAGCCUAGGUCGGAUUAGCUAGUUGGUGGGGGUAAUGGCUCACCAAGGCGACGAUCCGUAACUGGUCUGAGAGGAUGAUCAGUCACACUGGAACUGAGACACGGUCCAGACUCCUACGGGAGGCAGCAGUGGGGAAUAUUGGACAAUGGGCGAAAGCCUGAUCCAGCCAUGCCGCGUGUGUGAAGAAGGUCUUCGGAUUGUAAAAGCACUUUAAGUUGGGAGGAAGGGUCGUAACCUAAUACGUUGCGAUUUUGACGUUACCAACAGAAUAAGCACGGCUAACUUCGUGCCAGCAGCC